rnacentral:lncRNA from 1 species
GUCGACCUGGCGUAGAGUUCGAUAUUGAUUGCAUUUAGUUUAAGCUAGGUUCACACUGCCGACCAGAUCAACUCGAUGAACCCGAUUGUCCAAAUUUCCACGACCAAGCUCAAUCAAAUUCUUGAUCGGGCCUGUUUACGACUUCUACCCGACCGCCAUCCGACUGUACACGACCUUAACUCGACCAUUCACGACUCCUUAAUGACUCUAUCACGACUCCAUCCCGACAACAAAAUGAAUACUUAUUCGAUAAUUCCGAUCAAUUCACGAUCUUUACACGAUCUUUACUCGACUAUCUAGACCAAAUAAACUAUUCACGAUCUCAGUCUGAUCUCGACCAGACCAGAUCGACCUGAUCGUAUAUGGAUCGUAGGGAAAAUCGGGAAUUGGUCGGGCGUGCACAAUUUUAGUAUAAAAACGUCCGAUUUUUUUAUCCCACGCC